UUUUCGUAGGUGAACCUGCGGAAGGAUCAUUACUGAGUUGCGCUCCUUUUAGGGGCCCUCUCCACCCUGUGCGAACUACAUCUGUUGCUUUGGCGGGCCGUCGGUCCUGCCGCCGCUGGCUCCAGCUAGCGAGCGCCCGCCAAAGGCCUUUUAAAAUCUUUUUAUUUUGACGUCUGAGCGAGAAAAAAAUGCGAAAAACUUUCAACAACGGAUCUCUUGGUUCUGGCAUCGAUGAAGAACGCAGC
rnacentral:misc_RNA from 1 species